GGGGUUGUGGCUCAGUGGGAGAGUGUUCACCUCACACAUGUAAAGCACUGGGUUCCAUCCUCAGCACCACA
rnacentral:tRNA from 1 species